CUCUGUGACUCCUACGGGAGGCAGCAGUGGGGAAUAUUGCACAAUGGGGGAAGCCCUGAUGCAGCCAUGCCGCGUGUGUGAAGAAGGCCUUCGGGUUGUAAAGCACUUUCAGUAGGGAGGAAGGUAGUGUAGUUAACACCUGCACUAUUUGACGUUACCUACAGAAGAAGCACCGGCUAACUCCGUGCCAGCAGCCGCGGUAAUACGGAGGGUGCGAGCGUUAAUCGGAAUUACUGGGCGUAAAAGCGCAUGCAGGCGGCCUGUUAAGUCUGAUGUGAAAUCCCCGGGGCUCAACCUGGGAACUGCAUUGGAGACUGCAAGGCUAGAGUGUGUCAGAGGGGGUAGAAUUCCACGUGUAGCAGUGAAAUGCGUAGAGAUGUGGAGGAAUACCGAUGGCGAAGGCAGCCCCCUGGUAUAACACUGACGCUCAUGCACGAAAGCGUGGGGAGCAAACAGGAUUAGAUACCCUGGUAG
rnacentral:rRNA from 1 species